rnacentral:lncRNA from 10 species
GUCACACCGACCUGCACCAUCUCUCGCCUGCCUGUGGGGUUUCUGUCAACUAGUCGUGGAGGGAAGGAGACUCUUUAAAGAAUAACAUCUUAUUGUGGCCAUGCCAGAACCCACUAAGAAAGAGGAAAAUGAAGUGCCAGCCCCAGCCCCACCCCCGGAAGGUGAGUAAAAACACUCACUCACACACGUUUGGGCUGCAAAUACAGAGGGUCCAUCCCAGCAUGAUUUGGCCUCCACGGGUGCUGUGAGCUGUGAGCUUUAACCUAACUCCUACUGAGAAGUUGGAUGGUGACCAUUGUGAUAAGUUGAGAAUAAUAAAAAUAAUACACUGUGUUUAUAUAAUCCUCUUGUGUUAAUCUAAUUUGGAUGGCACUUCAUAUAUAUUAGGGGGACAAUUCUUAUGAAACCUUUCAAAUUAUGUAAAAGUUAUUAUGUCCGCAUUUUACAGUGUGGAGGCUGAGCCUCCAUCCAAGGGGCUGAAGAAUUUGUGAGGCUUUUUCCUAUAUAGUGAAGGUCAAACAAACCCACAUCUUCUUUAUGAGAGUGGGGAGUGGAUCCAUCUCUACCCUGAGUGAUAUAUCAAGGAGUAAAUACCCCUGGACAACCAGUCUUCCUGGAGGGGCAGCAACAGUCAUUGCACAAUAAGGAUUUUUGAAUGUAUAAUAUCAUCUAAGGUGGGCUCUCCUUCUGCAGACUCCUCUUGCAAGGCGUACCUCCAAACAUAAUUGAUUCGUAUCUGCGAGACUUACACUCAAGCAAUCCUGAGGAAUACUGAGGGAGGGCCUGGCUACUGUCUCUCUGCACUCUGCUGCUUUGAAAUCUGGUUGAAAUGAGAAAAAGCAUUUUCUGUUUUCCCACCAGGCCCCCAAGUGUGGUCUUUUUCUUUCCUCCUAAUGUUGAAGAGAAAAAAAAAAAAAAAAGUUUGCCCAGAUUGCUUAAUUAAAAAUUGCAAACAAAAUCUCAUUUGAAGUCA